UCUCUCUCACCACAUCGAAGAAACUGAAUCAAAAUAAUCGAUCCAAAAAAUUCAAUCAAAUUCAUCACAUUUGUUAAAACUGAUCAUUAGAAGUUUGAAAAGACGAAAAUCAACGGAGUAACAUCAAAAAUGAAGAAACAAAUUAUGGUUCAUAAAAAUUGAUUUACUGUGAUGUUGAACAAGUUGAAAAUUGAAGAUUCAAAUAAGGUAUCCCUAAACGUUGAUCGAUAUUGUAAAUGCUUAAUGUCAUUUGAAUGAGUUCAAGGAAGGAGAUAAAUUUUUAUACAAAGUUUGUUUUGUAGAUAAGAUGGAUGGCGACUUUAAAGUCAUAAGAAAAAUCUUUUGGUUCACCACUGUAAGCGCGGUACGUGGUCGGGAUGAAAUCGUUUUUAUUUAAUAUCAACAUCAUAAUUUUUAUUCUCCGUGUUUUUUUUUUGUAUAACACGUACAACUUACGGGUUUAACAAGGAUUUGGAAAAGAUCUUGAUUCCCUUAUCCUGGAAAAUUUAGAAAAAAAGUCAAAUUCUUUAAAUGAAGAUCAUCAGUCCAUCGAGGAGGAGAAAAUGACUGGCAAAGAUAAGGAUUUCAAUUUUCAGAUAUAUGGCAACUUCUGAUUUGUUGAAUGAGUUGUCUAAAGACGGAUAUAAAGCGGAUCAUGAUCUAGAGUUGAAGAUUUCGAUGACCGUUCAAUAGAUAAAUAAAAGGAAAUCCCUCGAAAAGUUUGCAUCCUUCCAUAGUUUUGUUAGUGUUUUUGUUCAAUUUUCACUUAGUCACAAAACAAUACAAAAUCCGAUCAUAAUUAACGAAGGCAGCUUGAACAGUCAAACAAAAGCUAGAAGACAUUUUUUCGAUUGUAUUCCUAUACUUUUACAUGAUUUAUGUUCAUCUAAUUCAAGUUUAAUCUCAAUAACAAAGUCGAUUAUGUAAUUUUUAUGUAAAUGAAGUGUUAUAUAUCAUACGAAAGUAGCUUUUGUUGAGAAAUCAUCAAGCACAUUCUUCUCAAUUUAAGAAAUAAG